CUCUCCCUCUCUCUAGAUUAUCUCCUUGCCAUUUUGUUGGCUCUCUCUCUCAUAUUCGCUCGCUAGCUCAACCAUUGGCUUAUCCUUCUGCUCCCUAAUUUCUCUGAAUUCCACACUUUUUGCCUGACCGCAAUCGCAGCAACAGCGCUGAAUGCGAAUCAUCUUUUGAUUCCCUUUCACUCGCUGUGAUUUUACUCUCCGGCCGAAUGUGUUUAUGUAUCUGCUGCAUCUUUGUGUUUCCAGACGAACGAGUUUUUGUUCCGGUUGGCUUAUUUUCAUUAAGUGCACGUUUCAAUUCUUCUUCACUACUGUGUACCGAUGCUUUUGAAUAGACAUGAUUUCUGCUACUUCAAUGUCAGUUUCUAUCGAAUGUGUGAAUAUAUGUAAGUCUUGGAAAGGAGAUGUGAGUGGAAGACUCGAAUGUAGUGUGUUAUCUUGUGCCUGGAAGGCGCCAAGGGCCUUGACUGGGUUACUUGCCAGCACAGCUCAUCCUUCUCAGUGUUCCUCUACUCCUUUUGGGCGAUAUGGAAGAAGAGAUCGUCUCCGCCGAUGUAGAUGUUAUACUUCUGAUAUGGAUGAAUGCUACCCUGUUGAAAUUCUGCGAGGAGUCCCUAGCUCAAUGCUUCUACUAUCUGCUUCUAGCAAAUGGAGAUUGUGUUGCUCUUUAUCAUUUUAUUCAGAGUCGUAUGUAGAGAUAUCUCCUGAAAGUUUGUGGGAGGAUCUUAAACCUACUAUUUCAUAUCUUUCUUGCAAGGAAUUGGAACUGGUUCAUAAGGCUUUGAAUCUUGCUUUUGAGGCACAUGAUGGUCAAAAGCGUCGUAGUGGAGAGUCCUUCAUUAUUCACCCAGUUGCAGUUGCACAUAUCCUUGGACAGCUUGAAUUGGAUUGGGAGUCGGUUGCUGCUGGGUUAUUACAUGAUACCGUAGAAGACACAGAUGUAGUUACUUUUGAAAGAAUAGAGAAGGAAUUUGGUGCAACAGUUCGCCGUAUUGUUGAAGGGGAGACUAAGGUAGUUUCUCAGAAGUUGUAGAGAUUAUCACUUACAAUGGUCUGUCUAGCAAGUCUGCUUUCCAGAGACAUAAACAGUGGCUUCAACAUGCAAAAACUCGUUGCGCCCGGCACAAAAUUAUGAAAUUUUUGAGAGAGCAAGCUGCACUAUCUGCAUCUGAAAUAACUGUGGAUUCAGUUAAGGAAUUUGCUGCUGAGUCUGAAGGGGACAGCACAGUGGAAGAAUUAGCAGAUUGCUCUAAGGGAACCAAACAUUCGUGGGAGAAAAUCCUCAAAAAUGUUAUGGAUGUAUCAUCUGCAAGGAUGAGUAGUGAAGAUAUUUUCCAACUCCAUAGUGGUAGACUGGUAGUAUUCAAAUUCCCAAGGUAAAUGGGAAACAUAAUAAGUGCAUGCAGCAUACGAUUUUGAAGGCCACAGGGGACACAUUGUCACAAGGAUAUGGUGUUGGCGAAAUGAUACUUGCUAACAUACCAAGGUACAGGGAUGUUCUGCCCGGAUUGGACGGCUGGCUGGCUAGCAAAGUUGCAACUUGGCAGAACCUGGAAGGGCACUCUGUCCAGUGGUUUUGUGUUGUCAGCAUAGAUCGAAAAGGGAUGAUGGCGGAUAUUACUUCAGCAUUGGCAGCUAUAGGCGUCAUUAUUUGUUCUUGUGCGGCUGAGACGGAUAGAGGGAAGGGAAUCGGUGUCGUGCUAUUUCAUAUUGAAGCCAACCUAGAGAGCUUGGUUGGUGCAAGUUCGAGGAUUGACAUGAUCCUGGGUGUUUUGGGAUGGUCCACGGGCUGCAGUUGGUCAUAGAACAAACAGUUUCUAGAAUGCUAAUUUAGUGGCCUGGUGAAGAGUACUUGCCCAGCUGUUGAAAGCUUGGGGAAGAAAGUUUUGUUCAGUGAAAGCUGAGUUCUUUUUAUCUUCUAGUUAUCAAUUUUUUUUCUCCUCCCACCAUCUUGACAAGUAUAGAAGCAAACAAUAUUAGGUAAUAUGGUGUCGGGCGACUGUAUAUAAAGGAAGAGUAGCAACCGGUUAUACUUGUAAAGGAAUUUUCAAUUAUACGAACUCCAACAAAAGUAUGUUAGACAGUUAUACAAAAUAAAUAUAUUAAAU